rnacentral:lncRNA from 1 species
GGCCCCCAAGGCGGGGCCGGGGGCGAAGGCUUGGACACGCUGCAGGGGCGGGGCUGCAGGCCGGGGCGGGGCCGAGGCCGGGCACGCUGCAGGGGCCUGUUACACCCUGGAGAGAAAUCGAGGCGCCAAGAAGCUACGUGACUUAGCCACUUAACUUGGCCCAGACUUGGAGACCGACAUCUCCCUUCCCCAAGUGAACUCCCUUUCCCGAAUGAGAGAGUCCUGCAGACAUGCCCCACCCCCUGGCCCACUCCCCAGGAGCCCGCAACAGCCAGGCUGUCCCUAGGCUGCAGCACUCAGCCCAAGUCCCUCCUGGGUGGCAGGGACCCAGGGGCUUGAGCCAUCGGCGGCUGCCCCCCAGGGUGUGCGUUAGCAGGAGGCUGGAAAUAGGAGCAGGGCGCGGGUGCGGGCGUCCCGAGCAGUGACUUCAGCACUGGACCCAGCGCGGGCCCCACAGGCUGCUGUCGCCCGCACCUGUGGCCGUUCCAGCGGCAUCAUAAUUAUUUGUGAAAGUGACGUUCUUCUACCUCCGAGGCCUCUUCACCACAUCUGUGCGGUGCACGCCAGCAGGAAGUGGGCAGCCGGGUUUAUCCGGCAAAGCUUGGGGUCGAAGCGGCUACCGCGGUCGCUGUGGGCACAACGAGGACUCGCAAGGUGGCUGACAAUACCGCCGCUAGGUGGCGCUGCUUCUCGGCCUCGGCAGGUGGCAGGGGUUCCUCCCAGAAGUUCCAAGAGCCUGGCGGUGCACAUUAGCAGGAAGCUGGGGCCAGGAGCCAGGCCUGGGACUCAAGCCCGGGCACUUACGCUAACAUUUAGAGGGAUGACUUGCUCUGUGAGAGGAAGACUCCGUUGCCAUAAUUCGACUCUGUGGGCAGGUGGAGAGGACAGCACAUCUGAGAAAAGAACCCAUCACCUGCGGCCGUGGCGAGAGUGUCCCGAGAUGACGCCGGGGCCAGGUUCCAGGCAGGUGUCAGCACGAAGCUGGCCUGGAGCGAUCGUCUUAUACCCGCGCAAUCCGCGGUGGGGCAUCGCUGGUGGCAGUGCCUCCCCGAGCAGCAAUAAUCCCCUCUUCUAAUCUGGUUUCAUUAAGUGGGCACCAGGCUCGGAUCAGAGGAGAGGGCUCAUCUUACGGGAUUGCAUUAUUUAACCAAGCAAACGCUUGGAAAUAUUUAAACGUCUUUUUUUUUUUUUUUUAAAGAAGGAAUAGAGGGAUUCUGCUACUAAGAAAUCGGAUGCAGCAGGCAGCUCAAUAAAACGGGAACACUGCUAUGAAAUUGCUCUCUC